AGGCCAGGUUUGUGGCGUUCAACCCAGUGUCAUAUAGAGGCUAUCCCUCCCUGCGCCUGGAACUGUUCGGCUGCCAGGUGACGUCACAGACUCCACUCAGACAUACCGAAGUUACGGACGAUAUUGAAGUAACCCGAGAAUGGAUACCGAGUUUAAGUCCAUACGUCAUCAACAGAAGACUCACUAUUCGUCCUUCCGGCAAACUGACCAUCCAUUCUGGCGUGAACGUUAUUUUCAACUCAACUGACGCGGGGCUCUUUGUCCUGGGCACUCUGACGUGCAUAGGUAAACUGGGUUUGCCUGUGGCUCUGUGGUCAUCCAAGGUUCCAACAGGUCCGUCUGCAGACUGGCUGGGUAUUGAAGUUGUCUCUCCAGGUAAAUUCUAACAGCAUCCUAACGACGAGGCGCUAGAUAACGAUUCAAGGAAUCAAUCACUAUUUUACGAAAUGCUGCACUGUGCAGAGAUACAGUCCUUGUCACAGAUAACGGUU